GAGGGUGUAGCUCAGUGGUAGAGCAUCUGCUUAGCAUGCACAAGGUUCGGGGUUCCAGCCCCAGGACUUCU
rnacentral:tRNA from 1 species